UACGGAGGGUGCAAGCGUUAUCCGGAUUCACUGGGUUUAAAGGGAGCGCAGGCGGGCUGGUAAGUCAGUGGUGAAAGCCUUGAGCUUAACUCGAGAACUGCCAUUGAUACUAUCAGUCUUGAAUAUUGUUGAGGUUUGCGGAAUGGGUCAUGUAGCGGUGAAAUGCAUAGAUAUGACCCGGAACACCUAUUGCGAAGGCAGCAGGCUAAACAAAGAUUGACGCUGAGGCCCGAAAGCGUGGGGAUCAAACAGG
rnacentral:rRNA from 1 species